CUCGCCAGGCGCUCGCAUCCUCCUUGGAGGGGAACCACCUUCAGCCAGAGCAACGUCAGCCCCAACCUCUGCUCUCCUUAACCCUUGCGGGGUCCGGGAGGCCGGCGCAGGUCCCCCUGCGCUGGGCAGAGACCGGACCGGGCGGAGAGUGCGGUGCGGCCGGCCAGAGGGCCAGGGAUGGGAGCAGAGGUGAUCACAGUUUGGAAACAGUGUCCUUGGGGUGAUGUCCAUGACAGUGAACUCAGCAGCAGAAAUCACCCCUGCGCACAGGGCGCUGGGCUCCGAGGGAGUUCGAGUUUUGGAAAGCUGGAGACAGUAUGCAUCUGCUGAAGGGCAAAAUUGAGAGGCAUGUUCUAAUUGGAUCCUGCCCAGGAUCUAGAAAAUCUCCUGGAGGGUCCUAACACUGAAUAUCUGGUUCUAUCUUCCACAUUGUUCACUAAGUCUCAGCUGUCACUGCACACCACAUUCAAGAGGGUGGAGAGAAGUCGUUUGACCCUGGAAGUCAUGAAGAGCAUAUGGAUCCUCAGCAAAAAGGUAUCACAUGUGAGACAGAAAAUGAGCCACCAGAGGCACUGAAUCUUCUGGCACCUUGACCUUGGAUUUCCCAGCCUUCAGGACUGAAACAGAGCAGGAGAGAUGAUUUAGUAUCCAUGUGUUACACUCAGCCACAACUGAGAACAGAACUAGUCCAACAUGCCACAGGUCUGGGCAAAGACCAAUGGGGCUGCUCCAGCUAUGAACAAGGUCCUGGAGAACAACAGCACCCCAUGAGAUCUCAGUCUCUUGGUUCCUGGUGUCUCCUGGAGGUGUCUCCCAGAUGUGCAUCAACCAAUUAAUCACCGUAAACACAUGGAAGCCAUUAAUAUUUUAUCUUCUCCCACCCAACUCCCCUACAUUUCCUGUACCUAAAUCCUCCAAGAGCUCAGAAUUGAUGCUCCCAGAUGGCAUACCAGUGUCAACACAAAGGGCACCAGUGUCCAGAGUGAGGGGCUACCUACUCCUAUUUUGCAGCUGCUGGUCCUCAGAUGUCAACAGGGAGCUGUGGUCCUAAGAGGAAAUCAUCCCUUGCCCCAACAUGGGGUCAUCCACACCAGCAAGAAGCCCCACUUGUACCCUCAAGGAUCACAGAAUCUAGGCUACAAAUAGUUCUCCUGCCCCCUCAGAGCCUCCUUUGUACAGGACUCAAAUGCAAUGCAAGGCUGAGUUCAGGUUCCCCUCCACAUUCCCACCUCCUUGUUCCUUCCAGCUAAGGGUGGGGGCACUUCCCUAAAAACCACCUCCUGAUGGUCCCCACCACUUCUACAGAUGUGAGUUCCAUUUUAGGCUCAGCUAAGACAUUCCUAAGCCCCAUAACAUAUAUAUAGUACAUCCAUACAUACAUAAAUACGAUCUUAUAAUUUACAUCAUCACAGCAAAUAAAUCAAAAUAAUAUGUGCAUAUGUGAGUAUUUAUAUCUAUAUAUGGAUAUAUAUACACAUUGCAUGAAAGAUAAGAGGACUUAAAUAAGAGUUUUAGCCCAAGUAGCUCAUUCUUAUGCCAAACCACAAUACCAGGUAAAUAUAAGAAUUCUCUUCUCCAACUCUUCCCCACAAUGUUUCCUAGAAGCAGGUCUUAAUCACCAAAGGAAACCUGUGACAGUUUUGCUGAUGUCUUUCAAAACUCUGUGCUUGCUGUCCAAACAAUCAAAUUGAUGAAGAAAUAAAAUAAUAUACUGUAAAGAAAGUGCUUUCAGUGUAGGGUGGCUGGAAGCAAAAAUAUAGGCUGGAUGAUAAGUCUGGAAAAUCCACAUGAUUCUGUUUUUAGAACAAAUGAAAAGAGUCUUGUAUAAGGACAAGGCACAGUUACAGCUAUUUUCUUCCCUCUAGGAAUAAGGAAUAGAAAGUGGUUAUUAAGAGUCUGAACCCAAAAAUCUGAGGAGACCUGGAAUCUGAGCUUGCCUUUUUGAUUGGUGCUUCUUGCUGGCAACUUGGAAAGACCAAGUCCUGUAAGAGAAAUAUACCUUCAAUUGGUGACCACUUAAUUACCAAUACUGCACAUGCAACCAGAAGCCAACUCAGUUUAGGGGAUCAAGAAGGCCUCCUGGAGGAAGUGUUACCAGAGCUACACCUCAUGGGGUGAAGAGGAAUUGAUGAGACAAUGGAUGAUACUUUAGCUAUCAAUGGAAGGAAUGCUUGAAAGGAACAUGGUAUAUGCAAGGAACUGAAAACAGAUAGAAGUAAACUGGAGCUAUG